AGGAAGGCCUAAAAAAUCCAAAAGCCAGCCCACUACAUUCUAUCCUGAGCUCCUUCCUUCAGAUGAUGGAGCAGAUGGAGGACAAUUAAGGGAGGAGCAGUUGUCACAGGAGCAACACUGUGCAACCAGCUCUAAGAUAACAGCCACGUUACUGAAACAGACCACUGCUGGAGUAUGUCUGCAGAGUCAGGAAGUUCUCUUGUCAGGAACUCCCUCCCGCAAAUCCAGACAUGCAGAAGCUCAGCACAGGAAGUCAGGCUGUCAUGGCUCCAGGCAUUGUUAAUCAUUUUUAAAUGAUCAUUAAAAGGCAGCAGCAGCAGCAAAAGGAUGCGGCUCU